CUUGCUGUAAGGUUACCUGGUGAUAUCCCCACAUGACAUUUGCUUUAAAAGAAUUCUGUGAGAAAUAAACAGACUUGCCAAAAGGAAAAUCGUUCUUAAAAAAAAAAAGAAAAGAAGAAGAAGAAGAAGAAGAGGGGAGAAAAAAACAAAACCCUGCUACUGAAGAUAAGUAGAAAGGAUAAUGACUGUUAUAAUCUCCAAAAAUUACUGUCCUACUUAUCAAAGUUUAUAUGUCAGAUGAAGGGAUAGUAGAUUAAAAGAAAUUUAUUUGUUUAUAUGCACAAAGAUGCCAAGUUAAUCCCCCUUUUCUUGUGCUAAAACUUGAUUAAGCUGUUCUGGACAUACUCUUUUCUGAAAGUUAGAGAAGCAGAUAAAUAGUGAGUGAAAGGUCUAUGAUGACCCGACAAUCAAAAUGAAUGAAUAUACAAACACAGCAUUUAUUAAAUCAACUGAUACAAAACAUGAGAGCCCAUUUCAAUUAAGAAACUAAAGAAUAGAAUUUAACUGAGGGCUUAAGUUCUGAGUAGGCAACUUGAUCACCUAACUAACACAAGGUUAUAAAUCAUCCUUUAUUAAUAAGUCAAUUCAAUUCACAAUUUUUGGCAGACACAGUUCUAGGCCCUGGGAAUAAAUUUGUAAAGGGGAUUGAUGGUGUUCUUUUCCACAUGAACCAUAAAAUUCAUUGGAGAAAAUGAACAAUAAACAAUUAAUUUCAAAUAUAAUGAUUAUGAACGCAGUAGAAAGAAAUGUUAUGGGACCAUAUGGCAAAACAGUCUAACCAUUGUUUCUAUUCAAUUGCCAUUCAGAUUCUUUUUUGUUUUGUUUUGCUUUUUAAGAUUUUUUUUUUUUUUUUUUUUUUUGACAGAGGGAGACAUGGGACUCCAUCCCAGGACCCUGGGAUCAUGACCUGAGUGGAAGGCAGAUGCUUAACGAAUGAGCCACCCAAGGCUCUGCCAUUCAGAUUCUUUAGUGUGAUGUCCCACCAUCCCCUAGGGUACUGUCCCGAGUUGGAAAGAAAAUUGUAUUCCCUCCACUCCAAAGAAGCAUUUCUUCUUGGGACAAGCCUUUCUUGAUCCAGUUCCUCCACUUGUAAGGGAUUUUAUGUGCUCCUUCCAACAGAACAGUUUCUGCUUAUCCAACCUUCUGACCACUGUUCCAGUAGAUUCUAAGAUUUUGCAGACCUAUUAA